AUGAUUGCGAAUGGUUGCCUUCAGUGCUGGCCCUCUUCUGAGAGCAAGUGCACGUUGGUGGCUUUCAUCCAAUACCACACCCUUGUGAACCAUUUGCCUCUUGCUAGCCUUGGUUGGCAGAGGACUUUUUUAAUACACACACACUCGAAUGUAAUGAAAACUACUGUCGUGCGCAAGCACUAAUGUA
rnacentral:misc_RNA from 1 species